ACCGUGUUUUUAUUGAAUUCCGUUAACUUCGGGGUAUGGUUAAGUACGUUUAAGAGAACUAAAUGGCAUAGUUAGUUUUCAAAAAAAAAAAUAUUUUUUGCUUUUUUCUAAAAAAAAAAUUACGUUUAAAAAGUAAUUAAAUGUAGCAUAUAGCGGUGUUGUAACACGGACAUUACAUUUAAUUCAACCAAACAAUUUAAAUCUGUGACAUAUCAAUGUCAUUUCGAACAUCAAUCAACCUAGAUUGUACUUAUUUUUAGUAGCAAAUGUAUAAACUCAUUCUAAACACUAAUCAAUAUGUAAACCGGCCCUAAGGCAAGUGUACACGCUUGUAGAGGCCUUAUAGGAAAAAAAUAAAUUAUUGAUUAUCUCCGAAAUGGAGUUAAUUAGAAUAUCGGUGUCUUUGAGAAAGUUACUUGAUUUAAGCUCAGGAAUGCACCCUUGAAAUUAACAGAAAUAAAAA